UACGGAGGAUGCAAGCGUUAUCCGGAAUGAUUGGGCGUAAAGCGUCCGCAGGUGGCUAUGUAAGUCUGCUGUUAAAGAGUGAGGCUCAACCUCAUAAGAGCAGUGGAAACUACAUGGCUAGAGUGCGUUCGGGGCAGAGGGAAUUCCCAGUGUAGCGGUGAAAUGCGUAGAUAUUGGGAAGAACACCGGUGGCGAAAGCGCCUUGCUGGACCUGCACUGACACUGAGGGACGAAAGCUAGGGGAGCGAAAGGG
rnacentral:rRNA from 1 species